AGAGGUCCCAAGCGUUGUUCGGAUUCAUUGGGCGUAAAGGGUGCGUAGGUGGCGCCGUAAGUGGGGUGUGAAAUCCCGGGGCUUAACCCCGGGACUGCAUUCCAUACUGCGGUGCUUGAGGACUGGAGAGGAGACUGGAAUUUACGGUGUAGCAGUGAAAUGCGUAGAGAUCGUAAGGAAGACCAGUGGCGAAGGCGGGUCUCUGGACAGUUCCUGACACUGAGGCACGAAGGCCAGGGGAGCAAACGGGAUUAGAUACCCCGGUAGUCCUGGCAGUAAACGGUGCACGUUUGGUGUGGGAGGAUUCGACCCCUUCCGCGCCGGAGCUAACGCGUUAAACGUGCCGCCUGGGGAGUACGGUCGCAAGAUUA
rnacentral:rRNA from 1 species